rnacentral:rRNA from 1 species
AUACGAAGGGUGCAAGCGUUAAUCGGAAUUACUGGGCGUAAAGCGCGCGUAGGUGGUUUUGUAAGUUGGAGGUGAAAGCCCCGGGCUCAACCUGGGAAUUGCCUCCAAAACUGCAUGACUAGAGUACGGUAGAGGGUAGUGGAAUUUCCUGUGUAGCGGUGAAAUGCGUAGAUAUAGGAAGGAACACCAGUGGGGAAGGCGACUACCGGUACUGAUCCGGACGCUGAGGUGCGAAAGCGUGGGGAGCAAACAGGAUUAGAUACCCUGUUAGUCUGCGGCGUAAACGAUGGCAACUAGCCGUUGGGAUCCUUGAGAUCUUAGUGGCGCAGCUAACGCAUUAAGUUGACCGCCUGGGAAGUCCGGCCGCAAGGUUAAAACUCAAAUGAAUUGGCGGGG